rnacentral:rRNA from 1 species
GACGAACGCUGGCGGCGUGCUUAACACAUGCAAGUCGAACGGAAAGGCCCUGCUUUUGUGGGGUGCUCGAGUGGCGAACGGGUGAGUAACACGUGAGUAACCUGCCCUUGACUUUGGGAUAACUUCAGGAAACUGGGGCUAAUACCGGAUAGGAGCUCCUGCUGCAUGGUGGGGGUUGGAAAGUUUCGGCGGUUGGGGAUGGACUCGCGGCUUAUCAGCUUGUUGGUGGGGUAGUGGCUUACCAAGGCUUUGACGGGUAGCCGGCCUGAGAGGUUGACCGGCCACAUUGGGACUGAGAGACGGCCCAGACUGCUACGGGAGGCAGCAGUGGGGAAUAUUGCACAAUGGGCGGAAGCCUGAUGCAGCAACGCCGCGUGCGGGAUGACGGCCUUCGGGUUGUAAACCGCUUUCGCCUGUGACGAAGCGUGAGUGACGGUAAUGGGUAAAGAAGCACCGGCUAACUACGUG